UGUGGCUGGGGGUGAAAGGCCAAUCAAACCGGGAGAUAGCUGGUUCUCCCCGAAAGCUAUUUAGGUAGCGCCUCGUGAAUUCAUCUCCGGGGGUAGAGCACUGUUUCGGCAAGGGGGUCAUCCCGACUUACCAACCCGAUGCAAACUGCGAAUACCGGAGAAUGUUAUCACGGGAGACACACGGCGGGUGCUAACGUCCGUCGUGAAGAGGGAAACAACCCAGACCGCCAGCUAAGGUCCCAAAGUCAUGGUUAAGUGGGAAACGAUGUGGGAAGGCCCAGACAGCCAGGAUGUUGGCUUAGAAGCAGCCAUCAUUUAAAGAAAGCGUAAUAGCUCACUGGUCGAGUCGGCCUGCGCGGAAGAUGUAACGGGGCUAAACCAUGCACCGAAGCUGCGGCAGCGACACUAUGUGUUGUUGGGUAGGGGAGCGUUCUGUAAGCCUGUGAAGGUGGCCUGUGAGGGUUGCUGGAGGUAUCAGAAGUGCGAAUGCUGACAUAAGUAACGAUAAAGCGGGUGAAAAGCCCGCUCGCCGGAAGACCAAGGGUUCCUGUCCAACGUUAAUCGGGGCAGGGUGAGUCGACCCCUAAGGCGAGGCCGAAAGGCGUAGUCGAUGGGAAACAGGUUAAUAUUCCUGUACUUGGUGUUACUGCGAAGGGGGGACGGAGAAGGCUAUGUUGGCCGGGCGACGGUUGUCCCGGUUUAAGCGUGUAGGCUGGUUUUCCAGGCAAAUCCGGAAAACCAAGGCUGAGGCGUGAUGACGAGGCACUACGGUGCUGAAGCGACAAAUGCCCUGCUUCCAGGAAAAGCCUCUAAGCAUCAGGUAACAUCAAAUCGUACCCCAAACCGACACAGGUGGUCAGGUAGAGAAUACCAAGGCGCUUGAGAGAACUCGGGUGAAGGAACUAGGCAAAAUGGUGCCGUAACUUCGGGAGAAGGCACGCUGAUAUGUAGGUGAAGUCCCUCGCGGAUGGAGCUGAAAUCAGUCGAAGAUACCAGCUGGCUGCAACUGUUUAUUAAAAACACAGCACUGUGCAAACACGAAAGUGGACGUAUACGGUGUGACGCCUGCCCGGUGCCGGAAGGUUAAUUGAUGGGGUUAGCGGCAACGCGAAGCUCUUGAUCGAAGCCCCGGUAAACGGCGGCCGUAACUAUAACGGUCCUAAGGUAGCGAAAUUCCUUGUCGGGU
rnacentral:rRNA from 1 species